AUUCGUCGACUGGACCGGACCUCUGCCAGUUUUUACCGCUGUGAUACUCCAAGAGACGGUUAUCACCGGGUGAAAAUUGGUAGAGGUCCGGUCCUUUCUU
rfam:Caenorhabditis brenneri strain PB2801 C_brenneri-6.0.1_Cont28.20, whole genome shotgun sequence.